CAUGACCAAAGAAUACCACAUUUACAUAAAAUCUGAUGGGAGGAUUAGUAUGGCAGGUCUUAGCUCCAGUACCGUCCCCCAUCUUGCUAAUGUUAUACAUGUUGCAGUCACCCGUGCCUCUUAGAAAGCAAAUUUCAAAGUUAUGUACCAACUAUCUAUUGCAUUUUGGCUUUUAGCCCCAUCUAUUUCAUGACUGUUU